rnacentral:ncRNA from 2 species
AAUCCAUCAGGAAGUCCUGAGAGACCCGGCUCUGUGAAGGGCUGGCAACCGAUCUCCGCCCUCGGGCGAGGCCACGGUGCCAAUGCCGGGAACGAUGAAUU